CAUACAUUCAUCAUAUUCACAUCAUCACAAACAAAACUUCUUUUGAAGGUGAUAAAAUGAAGAUCAACUCGUGUUUGGCUUUUGCACUUCUUCUUCUUCUUCUCGUUUCCUACGCUUUGGCGGUAGAGACCACGACGACCCAGGAAGUAAAAGAUGUAAGGGAUAAGGUAAACACAGCAGGUCAAGGUAAUAUGGUUUUCUUCAACAGACCACGAAAAGGCGGCAGUGGUAAUGGUGGCAGAGUAUGCAUUCAACAAUGCUGUUAUAAACAUGCUACUUCUCCGUGCAAAACAUGUUGCCGCUCACCAGAAGAAGCCAAAGCCUUCGCUGAAGAAGAAGCACAUCCGUAGACGUCUUAGAGUUAUGUGUAAGAAUAAAUCCGUGUAUUCUAGUAGACACUGAAUAAACCGGUACAUGGCAAUAUGGCAUCGUAUUACAACU